rnacentral:tRNA from 1 species
UCCGUAGUGGUGUAGUGGUUAACAUCGCUGUCUCUCAUCCCGUAGUGAGGGCACAGCAGCCCGGGGUUCGAUUCCCCGCUACGGAA